CCCAAGUUCGAUCCCUGGUACCAAAAAAACAAAAAGAUAAACCUCUUGCCUCUAUCACUAAAACUAAAUACUGUAGAACAGUUUUUAGGCUUGAAAGGAGGGAGUGUGACUUAGUAGUAGAGUGCAUGCCUGGCAUGUGUGAGUUCCUGGGUUCCAUCUCCAGUACCAUUAAUAAAGUUUUUAGGCUCACUAGAUGGGUAUUUGUCAUCAAGAAGGUGGGUAAGAAAAUACAGCAUUGAAACUUGUCUGUUUUGAGUAAGAAAAUGCCAAAGGUGGACAAAUUAAGUGGGUGUUUUAGGAGAGAAGGAAUUGACCACACGACAAAUUUCCUAGCCUGGUAAGCCAAUGUGUGGGAGGCUACAGAUGGUAGUUGGUAAUUUAUGUGAAUUGGACUGAGUCUAACUUUAGUCCUAAAAAUUUUAGCUCUGGUGUCUGUUUAAUAGUUGAACUUUGCCAAAAGGCACUCAAGCUACAAAUGUGAAUCCAGAAUUAAAAGAAGGGUUCAGUUUAUACUGUAGAGAUACUGAAAGCAUACGAAAAGUGUUCUGUUAGGGACCCUUUAUGUGGAAGUUUGGGAUAAGCUGUAAGAAUGGAUUGCAAGAUCUGCGAAACAAAGUAAACCUGCAUCCUUUAAAUGGGACUUGAAAGUUUUAGGCUAACUUUGACAGUUAAUGUGGCACAUCUUGAUACUAGGAAUGUAGAGGGUUUUUUUAAGGAAUGUAGCAUAUUGGUUAAUAAUACAGUGAGCAUAUUGUACAACAAGGCCCACAACAGCUCCUUUGUUCUUUGCUGUAGUAAACUACAGGGUGAUAGUCAAGUUCUGUAUUUAAGCAUAAUGUCAUUGUAUCCAUGACUUAGGCCAAAUCAGAAAUUUGUUUACUUGGCAAAGAGAGUUCUUAAAAGAUUUACUAUUUGGAUUUUUUCCAUCUCCAUUUGCUAUUCCCAAAUUAUUGUUUUUGUGUGUACUUAAAUCCAAUACUGAAUUACUACCUCAUUUGCUGAAGUUUUGUUGGUUUUUUGGGGGGUACCUGGGAUCGAACUCAGUUCCUUGCACUUGCGAGGCAGGCAGCGGAACCACUGAGCUAAAUCCUCGGCCCGUACUGAAGUGUUUUAAGUUGAUCUCAGCAACUGUUCAUCCUGGUUGUCAAGUCUGACCUUCCUCAAACAUUGUCACUCCCCUCAUAUGAAUCAAUGAUGGAUUGGUUAUAUUUUGCUUUAACAAUUUAUCAUUAUUUUUUAAAAUUUAUCACUAUUCUUAAACCACAUCUUCUGGUCUGGUAACUAUUUUGUUGGCCAUGUCAGGUUUUGCUUCUGUGUGUCUACUUACAUCCUUCCUUACCCGCUGCCACCAAGCAGUCUUCAGCUGCUUCAAAUCCAAACAUUCUCAAAGAUUUGGCUUAAGUCGCACUUAAAAAGAAUGCUGCUAAAAUCCUUUAAUACCUCUUUUCAACAAUAUGCAUUUAGUUCCCUUGCUAUUUCUUAUUAAUGUUGAAUUUUCUGUGGGUUAAAUAUUUGGACCCAAUGGAAUUUUUGUAAUAACUUGUAAUUCCCAGUGAGCUAAGCGCAAUGCUGACAGUUUAACAAAUUUUGUCAAGUAGAAAUAACCUAAUACUCCUUGAGAAGCAAAGUGCUGUAGAAGUCUUGUGUUUUAUAAAAUAUUGGUUAAUUCAAUUAUUGAAAAAAUAUUUUAAUCCUAAUAUUGGAUCAAAUAAUUCCUCAUUAGAUGUGAAGCCAGGAAAUUCAGAUUUAAAUGCUAGCCUGGUUUCACUGUGUAGUUCAGGAUGACUCUGUGUGUGUGUGUGUGUGUGUGUGUGUGUGUUUUGAGACAGGAUCUCACUAUAUGGUUCAGGCUGGUCUUGAACUCACUAUGUGGCUCAGGCUGGCCUCAAACUCACUGCAAUCCUCCUUGCCUCCGCCUCCUGAGUGCUGGGGUUAUAGGCAUGCACCACCACGCCUGGCUCAGGUUUUGUUUUUUUUUUUGUUUGGUUUUUAUUUUAACUCACUAGGCCAGGCUGAUACCAAACUCACAGUGAUCCUCCUGCCUCAGCCUUCUCACAGCUGGGAUUACAGGUGUGCCCCACCAUGCUCACUCAACCUGAGAAGGUAUAUGUUGCUCCCAAAACUGGACUUAGAAUGUAGAAAAGUUUUGUUGUAAGCUGUGCACACUUAUUUCAGUAUAGAUUACCAAGAAUUGAUGGUAUUGUCUCCUCAAAAACCAAACAGCUUCUUUUGCGGCUGCCUCUUGGAUCUUUAAGUCAUCUUUUUCUUGGGCAUGAUUCUUUCAGAGGAAGCUUUAAAUUGACUCCGAAUUUACUGGCGCUGCCUCAAUCAGAAUCUCUGAAAAUUUCUCAGCCUGUUGAGUUUGAGCUAUUUUGUUCUUUUUUGAAAUCAUGUUCCCACCGGCUUGAAACACCAGUGGUACAUACAUGACUGUCCCAUUGGGCAGCUUUUUAUUAAUUCUAUUAAAAAGAUGAUUAAAAAAAUGAUAAAAGUGACUAGAUACAUUUGUACCACCAGUGAUACAAGCUGCCCAUGGGACAGCCAUGCAUGGUUCAAGCUGCCCGGCAGUGAGAGAUACAAAUUAUAGCCCCAUCAUGAACGUGUUAACUCCAUGUCCUAGCCAAUGCUGUGUGCCGCAGCAGGCUGUUUGUAUCAUUGAAAAGCUCUAAAAGGUCCACCAUCACUUCUAGGCCCUACAAGUAGCUCCACUCCUUUAGCUAUUAAAGUUCUGGCUCUUCUUGAUUAGCUAGUGACAAUCAUUUUUAAUAUUUUUAUUAGUUUGCAAUACAUAUGAUUACAUCAUGGCAAGUUGGCACAUGUACAGACCUCAUCCUUUUAUGUCUCCUCUCCUGACUCAGUUAUUCUUGAAAUAAUUGCACUUCAUUUCUGCUUUGGCUUUCUUCGCCAUGUUUAUAUAGUGCAUUUAUUUUAUUUUUUAUAUUUUGGUACUGGGGAUCAAACUCGGGAUCUUGCACUUGCAAGGCAGGCAGCGGAACCACUGAGCUAAAUCCUGGGCCCCUAUAUAGUGCGUUUACAUGUCCACUUUAAGCUGUACUUGAUAGUUGUUUCGUGUAUAUUUUGUUUCUUCCAGCUACAUAGUGAACUCUUGGGGCUAGUAUGUUAGGGAAAUCUGAGGCAAGUAUGCUGUGUAGUUUAGAUCUGAGAUGCAGGUGCCCCUCUGAUCAGAUUGGGCUUAUUCUCAGUAGUAAUCUCAAGGGUUCCUGUCCUUGCUACUUUUUUAGUGGAAAAUUUUUGAGGAAGAAAGUGCAAAACCAUAGGACAAAUACCUGAUGUUUUCUUAAAGUAAUGCCUGUUUUACAGAGUAUUUUGACGUGUGUGUGUGCGUGUGUGUGUGUGUGUACUGGGGAAUGAACUUGGGACCUUGCACUUGUGAGGCAGGCGGUGGAACCACUGAGCUAAAUUCCCGGCUAUUUUGACUCAUUUUAAGCCUCAAGUGCUAUUGGCCUCAUUUUUCAUUGAAGGAAAAGCCUGAGAUUUUAAAUUGGCAGGCUCAAAAUUUGAAUGCAAGUCAUAUUUACUACACUAUUGCUUUUUGAGGUUUCUCCAGGGGAGAAUGAUAAAUCUGUGAACACUACCUGUAGUAGCUACCUGAUGCCACCAGGGUGUCCCAUGGUGCUGUGGUUGAUAUUCUUACCCUGAGAGCUGGGGACUGUUCCAACUACAUCUUGUUAGAGUGGCUUAUGGCUCAGAGCCUGGCCCCAAACAAUGGAAUACUUGGCUUCCUGGCUUUCCAGUGUACAGUGCACAGCCAGCCCUUAGAAGCCCUUGCCCUGUUUUUACUCCUAGUCAAACUGCCCCCACAGCCAGUGGGUCACAGAGUAGUCAAGGGCUGGCUAGCCCCUCAGUAACAACACAGCAACCCCUCAGAAGACAUUAGCAUACAAAAGAACCUGUGAAUGGUAAAUGUCUAUGAACAUCAGUGUUUAGUAGCUGAGUAUACAGUUCAACAACUUUGUAUUAGUAAACUAGAACCAUAGCAAAACCAGAUUGAAUUAACACUAUAUGUAGAUGAAUAUUACUACUCUUUUGGGGUGGGGCUUUUUGAAACAGUCUAUAGUCCAGGCUGGCCUUGAACUUGUAGUGAUCCUCCUGCCUCAGCCUGUUGAAUGCUGAGAUUACAGGUGUGUGCUGCCAUGCCUAGCUUAGGUAGAUGAAUAUUAAAAGUCAUCGGCAAAUGCACUUUCCAGUUUGCAAUAAAAAUGUUUGUAUUAUACUUAGCCUGAGUGUGCAGCCUUCUAGCAUGAGGGUGUUUUUUUGUUGUUUUUUUUUUUAUUGGUUGGUUUUUUAGUAGUAGAAAUUGAACCCAGGGCCAUGCAUGUGCUAGCCACUACCACUGAGCUACAUUCUCAGCCCUUAGAAUCAUUUUUUAUAUUCAAUAAUCUUAGAUGUCAAAGCUAUCUCUUAUGAGAGAGCUAAUAGGAUGAAGUCUCAGGUUUGGUAUUAAGGAGAAAAUACAAUCUUUAAAAUUUGCUGUUCAAGCACUUUGUACUAGUGUGUAUAGCUAACUGGCUUAUAAUUAUUUCUUUACGAGUCUUGAUUUCUGCAUUGGAGAAGAUCCUUAAAAGUAUUUCCAGUGGCCAGCAUAGCUCCUGAGAAUUAGUAAGUGCUCAAUAUUUACUGGAAUAACGUUUCCAUAGUAGUUCUGAGAUAGUUCUACAUAUGGGAAGAGGUCUUUGUUUUUGUCUUCAAGCCAAUUAAAAUUCAUUUUGAACUGGAAAGUGCGUUGGAUGUCCUGGCCUUUUGAAAGGCUGAGUUCAUUGUUUAAUGUUGGAGUUCUCAUCAUGGCCUGAGUUUGAGUCUGUGUUUAAGCUGUUUCUCUUUAGGUAUCACCUAUGUGCUAUCCUAGGACUGGUUGGUUACCCGGCUUUUCAGACUCCCAGGAAUAAACUACUGAUUCUAGCUAUUGAACUUGAGGUCCCCCUUUCCCCUCUCUCCUCCCUGCUUUCUCACAUGAGUUUCCAGCCUGAAACUUGUUCAAGACAUGGUUUGUUUGGGUUUGUUUUUGUUUAUGUAAUUGUUUCUGCUGGGACUAGUCCAGUGGCCACAUGCACGGUAACUACACACUUUACCACUGAGCUAUGCCUCAGCCCUAUACCUACUCUUUUUUUUUUUUUUUUUUUUUUUGGUACUGGGGAUCAAACUCGGGUCCUUGCGCUUGCCAGGCAGGCGGCAAAACCAAUGAGCUAAAUCCCGGGCCCUACCUACUCUUUUUUUUUUUUUUUGUACCGGGGAUCGAACUCAGGACCUUACACUUGCGAGGCAGGCGCCAGAAUCACAGCUAAAUCCCUGGCCCUCUACUCUUUUUAAUAAUCAAGUAAACUUUGAAUUUUCAUAGAUCUCUGGUAAGUGGACUAAUCAGAUUAUAGAUUAUAGUACUAACUUGGACUGUUCUUGGACACUAUGGUUUUCUUAGGUCAUCAGAGUGACCGCUUCAGCUAAAUAAAUAUACAGAACAUAUAUGGGAUUUCUUUGAGCUUCAUUAUUAGUUUCACUAUGUGGGAGAUCUCUGGUACAAAUAACCCUCUUUCCUUUAAGAAAUAUUUUAGAGAUUUUUCCAUCCCAUGUUUUAUAUCUAGUUUAAUAAAUUGAUUUUAAAAUAUUAUUUCCUAUGUGAGGAAUAAUAUAUUCUGCCUUUCCCAUCUAAAGUGCAAAUUACUAAAAGGCAGAAAUGUGUAUUAUAACUCUUGAGGUGCCUGUUUCUGAACUUGUUUUAUACCUGAUGCGCGGGAGGUGUUUUCUCUAGCUUCAUUGAUUAUGUGCCAUCUGUUCUGUGAGCAUUCUUUGCAGAAAGAAAGGGGAGAGAACGUGAAAGGAGAAGUGGAGAGAAGCUGGAGAAGAAGAAAUAGCUGGAAGCUUGGGAAUUGGGGGAUUUACCUAAGGUCAGUAAAACAAAGCUUGGCAUGGUCAGGACCUUGGGAUAGAGGGCUAAUUAGCUUGUCAGCUAAUUGACUACAGCCUUGCAUACUUUGUUAAAGAGACCAAAGGUACUUAAGGGAAAAUCCAUUUUCUUCCCUAUGUACCUUAGUGAAUUGUUCAUCAGGUCAGAAUCCUGCCCUCCUGGCAUCCUGGUCUUGUUUUGUUGGUGGUGGUGUUUUUCUGUGCGGUUUUUUUGGCACCAGGGAUCAAACCCAGGACCUUGCGCUUGCAAGGCAGAUGCGGCACCACCGAGCUAGAUCCCAGACCCUGCUUUUGUUUCUUCAGACCUAGCAGACCAUGCAUAGGCAACUAAGAGUGAUGUUAUUUGUGGACGAUGGGAAGUAAGCUUGGUGUAUUACUUACAACUUAGAAGUAAAUGCUGAAUAGUUAUUGUCCUUAUGCUGAGCUUUUAGCAUUUACUUACCUGGCCCCUUCACUUUUAUGCCUGGACCAGAUGAACAAUUUAUAGAACUUUAGGUAGCUUCUAGGUCAGAGACUCAAGGUCAAGAGAUACUUCUUUUUUUUUUUUAAGAGAUAUUCUUAAUAGAGCUAAUUACCUCAUCAGAAAUCUUAGCCAGAUCUUAUCCUGUCCUCUUGUGUUGUCGUCUGUUCACAUGCUUUUUAGAAUGGAUCACCCUUCCCAAAGCUAAAUCUGACUAGUCUUGUGUUCUUGUUUUUGUUUAUGUUUUGAGACGGUCUUGCUAUGUUCAGGCUAGCCUUGAACUCACUAUGUACCCCCGGCUGGCCUCAAACUCACAAUGGUCCUCCUGCCUCAGCUUCCCAAGUGCUGAGAUUACAGGCGUGUGCCACCAUGCCUGGCUAGUCUGGCUAUUUUUGUGAUGUCACAAUGUCAAGUUACUCCUGCUCACUACUUCACCAGGGAACCUACGAUGCUGACCAGUUUCCUGGUGUGUUACCUGCUUCUGCUACUGAUCCAAACUGCAGAACUUAUUCAUCCCCAUGGCCUCCAGACAGUAUCCAAUGGGGAAUCCGAUCUAAAAGGAACCAGACCUACGUUUUCCAGCCCUUCAUUCUGGUUUCUUGGACUGGAGACAUUUCUUUAAUAAUAGCGUGUCUCUGAUAUUCCCAGUAACAACUACUAUCGAGGAAAGGAUAGAAAACGUUCAGGACAUCAUCAUAUAGACUCCUCAUCUACAAAGUUCAGUAACGGUGACGCCUACACAGAAGACUUGGAACUGCAAACAGGCUGGGGUCACCUCAGUGACAUCUCUUGAUGCACAAACAGAAGUUUGAUUUUUGUUUCGGGGGUGCAGAAGGAAGCAGACUGUAGUAAAAC
rnacentral:tRNA from 1 species